CGAAGCCUGACGGAGCAAUACCGCGUGAGGGAAGAAGGCUUUUGGGUUGUAAACCUCUUUUGUCAGGGAAGAAGAAUUGACGGUACCUGAAGAAAAAGCAUCGGCUAACUCCGUGCCAGCAGCCGCGGUAAUACGGAGGAUGCAAGCGUUAUCCGGAAUCAUUGGGCGUAAAGGGUCCGCAGGAGGCGAAUAAAGUCUGCUGUUAAAGACCGGGGCUUAACUCCGGAAAGGCAGUGGAAACUGAUUAGCUAGAGUACGGUAGGGGUAGAGGGAAUUCCCAGUGUAGCGGUGAAAUGCGUAGAUAUUGGGAAGAACACCGGUGGCGAAAGCGCUCUACUAGGCCGAAACUGACACUGAGGGACGAAAGCUAGGGUAGCGAAAGGGAUUAGAUACCCCUGUAGUCUUAGCGGUAAACGAUGGAUACUAGGUGUAGCUUGUAUCGACCCGAGCUGUGCCGAAGCUAACGCGAUAAGUAUCCCGCCUGGGGAGUACGCACGCAAGUGUGAAACUCAAAGGAAUUGACGGGGGCCCGCACAAGCGGUGGAGUAUGUGGUUUAAUUCGGUGCAACGCGAAGAACCUUACCAGGGCUUGACAUGUCGCGAAUCUAGCGGAAACGUUAGAGUGCCUUAGGGAAUGCGAACACAGGUGGUGCAUGGCUGUCGUCAGCUCGUGUCGUGAGAUGUUGGGUUAAGUCCCGCAACGAGCGCAACCCUCGUCCUUAGUUGCCAAUAUUAAGUUAGGCACUCUAGGGAGACUGCCGGGGACAACUCGGAGGAAGGUGGGGAUGACGUCAAGUCAGCAUGCCCCUUACGUCCUGGGCGACACACGUACUACAAUGGUUGGGACAAAGGGCAGCAAGCUCGCGAGAGUAAGCGGAUCUUAUCAAAUCCAGCCACAGUUCAGAUUGCAGGCUGCAACUCGCCUGCAUGAAGUAGGAAUCGCUAGUAAUCGCAGGUCAGCAUACUGCGGUGAAUUCGUUCCCGGGCCUUGUACACACCGCCCGUCACACCAUGGAAGCUGGCUACGCCCGAAGUCGUUACCCUAACCCGGUUUUGGGAGGGGGAUGCCGAAGGUAGAGCUAGUGACUGGGGUGAAGUCGUAACAAGGUAGCCGUACCGGAAGGUGUGGCUGGAUCACCUCCUUU
rnacentral:rRNA from 1 species